rnacentral:rRNA from 1 species
CGGACGGGUGAGUAACGCGUGGGUAACCUGCCUUGUACAGGGGAUAACAGUUGGAAACGACUGCUAAUACCGCAUAAGCGCACAGGAUCGCAUGAUCCGGUGUGAAAAACUCCGGUGGUAUGAGAUGGACCCGCGUCUGAUUAGCCAGUUGGCAGGGUAACGGCCUACCAAAGCGACGAUCAGUAGCCGACCUGAGAGGGUGACCGGCCACAUUGGGACUGAGACACGGCCCAA